rnacentral:rRNA from 1 species
UACAAUGGAGAGUUUGAUCCUGGCUCAGGAUGAACGCUAGCGGGAGGCCUAACACAUGCAAGCCGAGCGGUAUUUGUCCUUCGGGACAGAGAGAGCGGCGCACGGGUGCGGAACACGUGUGCAACCUGCCUUUAUCUGGGGGAUAGCCUUUCGAAAGGAAGAUUAAUACCCCAUAAUAUAUAGAGUGGCAUCACUUUGUAUUGAAAGCUCCGGCGGAUAGAGAUGGGCACGCGCAAGAUUAGAUAGUUGGUAGGGUAACGGCCUACCAAGUCGAUGAUCUUUAGGGGGCCUGAGAGGGUGAUCCCCCACACUGGUAC